rnacentral:rRNA from 1 species
CACAUGCAAGUCGAACGGUAACAGGAAGCAGCUUGCUGCUUUGCUGACGAGUGGCGGACGGGUGAGUAAUGUCUGGGAAACUGCCUGAUGGAGGGGGAUAACCACUGGAAACGGUAGCUAAUACCGCAUAACGUCGCAAGACCAAAGAGGGGGACCUUCGGGCCUCUUGCCAUCGGAUGUGCCCAGAUGGGAUUAGCUAGUAGGUGGGGUAACGGCUCACCUAGGCGACGAUCCCUAGCUGGUCUGAGAGGAUGACCAGCCACACUGGAACUGAGACACGGUCCAGACUCCUACGGGAGGCAGCAGUGGGGAAUAUUGCACAAUGGGCGCAAGCCUGAUGCAGCCAUGCCGCGUGUAUGAAGAAGGCCUUCGGGUUGUAAAGUGCUUUCAGCGGGGAGGAAGGUGUUGAGGUUAAUAACCUCAGCAAUUGACGUUACCCGCAGAAGAAGCACCGGCUAACUCCGUGCCAGCAGCCGCGGUAAUACGGAGGGUGCAAGCGUUAAUCGGAAUUACUGGGCGUAAAGCGCACGCAGGCGGUCUGUCAAGUCGGAUGUGAAAUCCCCGGGCUCAACCUGGGAACUGCAUUCGAAACUGGCAGGCUAGAGUCUUGUAGAGGGGGGUAGAAUUCCAGGUGUAGCGGUGAAAUGCGUAGAGAUCUGGA